GUGCCCAGAAGAAUUCGAGUCGGGGGCACGGUGGGGAGAAGGGGCCGAUCCCCUGCUGGCGACCGGGCAGAGCCACCCAUUUCCUCUAAGGGCGCGGGACUCGAGGUACCACCUCUUUCAUCCACACAAUGGAUCAAGGAGUUAUAGCAGCUUUUAAGUUCUACUACCUGAGGAGGGAGGACUUUUGCCCGGUGCCAUACUGCAGUGGAGGAAGACACUGAGAAGACUCUGAUGAAAUUCUGAACAGCAUCAAUAUGUCGCUAAGGACUGUAGGAAUGGCACCUGGAAGAUGACACGCAAGAGGUUUGUCAAUAACUUCAAAGGAUUUGCCAAGGAUGAGGAAGUUGCAAAAAUCAAGAAGGCCGUGGUUGAGAUGGCAAACAACUUUAACCUGGGUAUGGAUGAGGAUAACAUUGAGUAAUUCCUAGAGAGAGUUCCUGAGGAAUUGACUAAUGGGUUGCUUUUGGAACUGGAAUAGGAGUGCAUAGCUGAAGAAGAGGUAAAAGGAAAAGAAAGUGCAGGAGAAAGGAAAAAAGAACUCCCAAGAACACUCACAGCGAAGGGUGUAGCAGAAGUUUUUUCAGGCUCCAACAAGCUCCUUAAGAAGUCUGAAAACAUUGGCACCAAAACUGAAAGGUUUUCACUAAUAGACAGGAAAGUUCAUGGUGCAUUAUCUGCCUACAAGCAAAUCCAGGAUUCAAAAAACACCCUUUGAGCUGGAGCUUCAAAGCACAAAAAAAAAAAAAAAAAAAGGAUAAAAGAAGCAAACCAAGCAAACCACCAUGGACAUAGUUGUGAGUCUAUUAGUGAUGGGGACACAUUCUGAGGAAUGCGUUGUUAGGCAAUUUCAUCCCCAUCCCUGUGUCAGCGUCAUAGUGUACUUACACAAAUCUAGAUGGUAAAACCUACUGCACACCUGGGCUAUAUGGUUUAGCCCAUUCCUCGAAGGCUGCAAACCUGUACAGCAUGUUAUUGUACUGAAUACUGUAGGCAAUCGUCACUCCAUGGUAGGUAUAUAUCUAAAUGUAUCUAGACA